rnacentral:rRNA from 1 species
UUAAUUUUAGCUUACUUUGAGAUUUUGACGAAUAGUUUUGUUAUUUAAAUUAUUUUUAAAGGUUUAAGUUUGUGUAUAGAAUAUAGAUAAAAUUUUUUGUGUGGUAGGUUAAUUGUAUUGUGAGAGGUUGUUUGAAAUAGUUUGAAAAUAUAUUAUUAAAGAAGUAGGUUAAUAGUUGUACCUUGUGUAUCAGGGUUUAUUAAAAAAAGUUUAAAUAUUUAUAUUUUCCCGAUUUGAAGAGAGCUAAAUGAAUAUUUUAGUUAAUGUAGAAUAAUUAUUAUUAAUAUUCAUUUAGUAAUGAAACGUUAUCCGUUCUUUAAGAUAUCUGGUUUCUCAAGAAAUGAAUUUAAUUCAGCUUUAAUUGGUAUUUUUUAUUUGUUUUAAUAAUUUAUAAAUUUGAGGUAAUAUCUCGGGGGAUAAGCUCCGGGAUAGGUUUUAUAAUUACUUGAAUAUUCAGAAAUUUUGUAGGCUUAGAAUUAGCCAUCUAUUAAAGGAUGUUAUAAUUUAAUUUUUGAUGAAUUUAAUUUUGUAAGGAUUUAAAUUUUGUAUUGAGAUGUGUUAAAUAAUUUUUGUUUAUUAGUAACAAUGAUAAAAUUAGUAUAUAAAAAUUGUCUGUGAGUGUAAGUAAAUGCUUAGGCUACAUUAAGGAAUUAGGCAAAUUAGUGCUCGCCUGUUUAACAAAAACAUGUCUUCUUGAAUAUAAUUUGAAGUCUGACCUGCCCACUGAAUUAAAAUUUGAAGGGCCGCGGUAUUUUGACCGUGCAAAGGUAGCAUAAUCAUUAGUCUUUUAAUUGAAGGCUAGAAUGAAUGGUUGGACGAGGUACUGACUGUCUCGGUGUAGAUGGGAUUAGAAUUUAACUUUUAAGUUAAAAGGCUUAAAUAUUUUUAGAGGACGAGAAGACCCUAUAGAGCUUUAUAUUUUUAUCUUAUUAUUUGUUUAGUUUAAUUUUUAUAAUAGGUGAGUAAAUAUUUUGUUGGGGUGACAAGAAGAUAAUUAAAACUCUUUCUAGUUUAUUUACAUUGAUGUAUGAAUUGUUGAUCCAUUAUUAUUGAUUAUAAGACUAAGUUACCUUAGGGAUAACAGCGUAAUCUUUUUCGAGAGUUCUUAUCGACAAAAAGGGUUGCGACCUCGAUGUUGGAUUAAGGGUAAUUUUGGGUGUAGAUGUUCAAAGUUUAGGUCUGUUCGACCUUUAGAUCCUUACAUGAUCUGAGUUCAGACCGGUGUAAGCCAGGUCGGUUUCUAUCCUUAAAUUAAAUAGUGAUACUUUAGUACGAAAGGACCAAGUAUUGGGAAAAUUUUUUCUUGUGUAGUGAUUUAUAUUAACUUUUUU